rfam:Drosophila grimshawi strain TSC#15287-2541.00 scaffold_15074 genomic scaffold, whole genome shotgun sequence.
UCUAAGGCAUUUUUAAAUGCCACCCAAUAGAGAUUCGACGAGUCCAU